GGUCACUAUCUCAUUGAAUAUGUAAUUGAGAUGUAUUCGCAGAUUUUUAUAGAUGCACGCAUAAGUGGAAAUUUAUUUAGGGAAUAUGAGAACUAAAUAUGUAUUGCUAUCAAUCCAAUUUAAUAGAUUUGCAAUUAUUGAUUUUUAUUUCUUAACUUGUAGCAGUGGUUUCUCAAGUUUGAAUAACUGAUGCUAAACUCAAAUUUGUUCCAUGGCUUUCCAAAAUUUAACUUGAAACAAAAUACAACAUUAUUUAAAUCAAUUUAUUGUACAUGUCCAAUACAAGGAAACUGCAAAAUCUAUUUUACUUUUUAAGUAAUUCAGUGCAAGAUGAAAAGUCGAAUAUGAUAGUAUAUUAGAUGAUACAUAAUUUGUUAAUUACAAACUUGAUCUUAAAGUUUCCUAUUUUGGUAGUUAUUGUAAUGAAGUAUGUUUAAAAACGUUUUUAUUAGGAGUCCAAUAUUGUAAUUAAUCAACUAAUAUUUUAAAAGCUGAUUUAAAAUUGGCAUUUGAAUUCAGAGCAUGUUAAAACCUGCCCACAUGAGGGUAAGGUAUCUAAAUGCCUUAAUUCUAUUUUCCCUUGACCAGAUCUGUUAAAACAGAAGUGGAAGUGCUUUUCUUUAAAUUUGUCUUUGAGACUGGCAGAAAAUUUAAAAUGAGGAGAAUUAAUGAAAUUGAGUAAUUAUUCCAAACUCUACUGAAGUUAAUAAAAAUACUUGCUUAAAUUUUCUCUACUGAUAUUUGUAAAGGUAGAUUUACAAAGCCACCAUUAUGUGAAAAUGAUCAAUGAUUAACAAAUAUACUGAGUAAUAGAGAAAGAACACUUUCUUAGUAUCUUUUUCUUUUUCAAAAUUUAAAGAAAUCAGUUUGGUUUUCUCCCUAUAUCUGGUAACCUUGUGUUUUCACAGCAUUACCAAAUAAAUUCGGAAACAAAGAUGAAGUAAUCAGAAAUAAAUAUUCUAAACUUCCAGAAUGAUUAGAGAUCAUAAUGGGUUAUUCCUUGUUUUCUUAAAAUAAAGAUUCAGUUUAAAAUUAAAAUUAGUAACUGGGAAUUUUAAUAUCAAAUUUGUAAUUGAUUUUGUUGAUAUCUUAUUAUGAAUAUUACUCAAGUAUCCGACAUUUUGCUUCCGUUUUUAUUUUUUUAUUUUUAUUUUUGCAGAAACAUAGCUUUUAACAGUAGCAAUAACAUUGUUAAAUUCUGAAAUGCAUUCAGUUUGUUUUCCAUGUGUAAUUUUGAAACAGUUGGGAAGAUCAAACUAUCUUCUUAUAUUUCCAUCCUUUAGUUUAAUAGGAGAAAUACAGAUUAUAAAUUCUUCAAUGCAGAUUGCCUUAUCUUGUUUUUCUCCUUAUAGCUGCUUGCUAAUAGAGAUUAAUGCUUACACAUAAAUCCUUUUUUUUUCUUCCUCUCUUGCUGAAGAUAUUCUUUUUGUGUGUGUAAAGUAUUGGGAACUGUAAGUGUCUGUACACAUAUAUUCCACGGACAUAAUAACACUAAAAGGUAGAUUAUUGGUGGGUCUAAUCAUUUUUUCUUGCAUAUACCUUCACCGUACAGGGCAUGCAGGCAGCCUGAUAUUAUGAAGUAAAUAAUGCAACCAGAGGUGGUUCUUUUUUCUUUUUUCUGGCAGAACCUUCCCAAACCAGUCUGACCUAGCACCUAGCAAUGUUCUUGGCUUUGCUCAGCAACAGCUUGGGAACCCAAAUCUCCUUCUGAACCCAGAUGGCAGUGUGUAGCCAUAUGUCAACAACAUAUGCCACCCUGAUUUCUUUUUUUUAAAAAAAAAUAAUCACAUCAAUUCUGCCAGCUACACAAAUGGAUCUUAACCCAUUGUGCAGCAAAGUAGUCUCUUCCCUGCCAAUCCCAUUUGUCCUCCAUGGACAUGUGCCUGCCCAGGCAGCAUCACUGAAAAAGUGUAAUUAUAGAUGCUAUAGCAACAUUUUUUUUUUUUUUUUACCAGGCAUUGUGUUUCAGAUCCAUUUGUCGGUCUUCUGUUGGCCUUGAUGUUGGGGGGGGAGAGAGAAAACGGGGGAGAAAGUUUAUCUAUAUUUGAGUUUUUGAUUAGAAGAAGCAAAUGGGCUUUUAAUUUCUUCUUAGAAUCUGUUCACUUUCAAACCAGUUGAACUGAAUCCUUUAGAAUGAACCAUUCUCAAAUACAGAGCUGCAGGGAUUGCUUUUCCAGUCUCCAUACUGUUAAUUGCUUUUGCUAGUAAUCCACAGCCAUUCAAACAGAACGACAAAAUAAAUAUAAAUUUGCUGUCCAAGUCAGUAUUUCCAUAGUAAAUAUCCCAGGUACAAUAAUCAAAACUAGCUUCUCCUAAUAUUAAUGGUACAAUUCAUGGUUAAAUUGAAAUAGCCUUUGCAAACAGCAGCCUAUUUUGGAUUAAGCAAAACAAGGAAGGCUGCACUGUAUCCUUAUCGUCAACUGAAGCUUCAGUUUUCAGAACUGAUGUUCCAUUCCAACAUGUUAAGCCGCACAUUUUCUAGAUUUGUCCAGACAUAAAAUCCACAGUGAAGUUACAUAUGGGUUUAUUCAAUAAUUAUGAUGAGAUCCAUAUGCAACAAAUUGUAAAAAAAAAUAAAAAAUCGAGUGUCUGAUGGAUUAGAACAGACAUUUUCAAGCCAAUUUUUUCAAAAUUCAAUUUUGGAUGAGAACCACUUUAUAGUAAAUGCAGGAAAGAAGAACCCUAUAUCUGUGAUAUUU